ACGGACUCGUGUGAAAAGAGUGUGUCGAUCAAUGCUUUGACACACUCUUUUCACACGUGUCAAUGA